rnacentral:rRNA from 1 species
CCUACGGGUGGCUGCAGUGGGGAAUAUUGGACAAUGGGGGCAACCCUGAUCCAGCCAUGCCGCGUGUGUGAAGAAGGCCCUCGGGUUGUAAAGCACUUUCAGUGAGGAAGAACGCCUGGUGGUUAAUACCCAUCAGGAAAGACAUCACUCACAGAAGAAGCACCGGCUAACUCCGUGCCAGCAGCCGCGGUAAUACGGAGGGUGCGAGCGUUAAUCGGAAUUACUGGGCGUAAAGCGCGCGUAGGUGGCUUGAUAAGCCGGUUGUGAAAGCCCCGGGCUCAACUUGGGAACGGCAUCCGGAACUGUCAAGCUAGAGUGCAGGAGAGGAAGGUAGAAUUCCCGGUGUAGCGGUGAAAUGCGUAGAGAUCGGGAGGAAUACCAGUGGCGAAGGCGGCCUUCUGGACUGACACUGACACUGAGGUGCGAAAGCGUGGGUAGCAAACAGGAUUAGAUACCCUUGUAGUC